rnacentral:rRNA from 1 species
CACGCAGCUUACACAUGCAAGUCGAGCGCACCUUCGGGUGAGCGGCGGACGGGUUAGUAACGCGUGGGAACAUACCCUUUGGUACGGAAUAGCCUCUGGAAACGGAGAGUAAUACCGUAUGAGCCCUUCGGGGGAAAGAUUUAUCGCCAAAGGAUUGGCCCGCGUUAGAUUAGGUAGUUGGUGGGGUAAUGGCCUACCAAGCCUACGAUCUAUAGCUGGUUUUAGAGGAUGAUCAGCAACACUGGGACUGAGACACGGCCCAGACUCCUACGGGAGGCAGCAGUGGGGAAUCUUGGACAAUGGGGGCAACCCUGAUCCAGCCAUGCCGCGUGAGUGAUGAAGGCCUUAGGGUCGUAAAGCUCUUUCGCCUGUGAAGAUAAUGACGGUAGCAGGUAAAGAAACCCCGGCUAACUCCGUGCCAGCAGCCGCGGUAAUACGGAGGGGGUUAGCGUUGUUCGGAAUUACUGGGCGUAAAGCGCACGUAGGCGGACUGGAAAGUUGGGGGUGAAAUCCCAGGGCUCAACCCUGGAACUGCCUCCAAAACUAUCAGUCUAGAGUUCGAGAGAGGUGAGUGGAAUUCCGAGUGUAGAGGUGAAAUUCGUAGAUAUUCGGAGGAACACCAGUGGCGAAGGCGGCUCACUGGCUCGAUACUGACGCUGAGGUGCGAAAGUGUGGGGAGCAAACAGGAUUAGAUACCCUGGUAGUCCACACCCGCAAACGAUGAUGCCAGUCGUCGGGUAGCAUGCUAUUGGUGACCACACCUAACGGGAUUAAGCAUUCCGCACUGGGGGAGUACGGUCGCAUGAUUAAAAAUUCAAAGGAAUUGACCGGGGGCCCGCACAACGGUGGAACAUUGUGGGAUUUAUUUCGAUGUGACUGCAGAAACCUUUACUAACCCUUGACAUCCUUAGGACCGGGCCGAGAGAUGGGUCU